AUUGAACGCUGGCGGCAGGCCCAACACAUGCAAGUCGAGCGAGCGGCGGACGGGUGAGUAAUGUAUGGGGAAUGCCUGAUCGAGGGGGAUAACUACUGGAAACGGUGGCUAAUACCGCAUACUAUCGGAUAACCCAUAUGGGAUUAGCUAGUAGGUGGGGUAAAGGCUCACCUAGGCGACGAUCUCUAGCUGGUCUGAGAGGAUGAUCAGCAAUACUGGGACUUAGACACGGCCCAGACUCCUACGGAGGCAGCAGUGGGGAAUAUUGCACAAUGGGCGCAAGCCUGAUGCAGCCAUGCCGCGUGUAUUAAGAAGGCCUUAGGGUUGGAAGGUACUUUCGGGUGGAAGACGGUAACCGCAGAAGAAGCACCGGCUAACUCCGUGCAAGCAGCCGCGGUAAUAC
rnacentral:rRNA from 1 species